GUCCUUUAGUUUAGAAUUUAAGGUCUGACCUGCCCACUGAAAAUUUAAAUGGCCGCAGUAAUUUGACUGUGCAAAGGUAGCAUAAUCAUUAGUUUUUUAAUUAAAAGCUUGAAUGAAUGGUUGGACGAAAUAAAAUCUGUCUCUUAGUAAUAAAUAGAAUUUAAUUUUUAAGUUAAAAAGCUUAAAUUUUAAUAAAAGACGAGAAGACCCCAUAGAUUUUUAUAUUUUUUUUUAUAUUUUUAAUUAGGAAUAUUUUAUUAAUUAUAGAUUAAAUUAUUAUAUUGGGGUAAUAAAAAGAUUCAAUAAAUUCUUUUUUUUAUAUAUUCAAUAAUUUUUGUUUAUUUGAUCCUUUAUUAGAGAUUAAAAGAUUAAGUUACCUUGGGGAUAACAGCGUAAUUUUUUUAGAGAGUUCUUAUCGAAAAAAAAGUUUGCGACCUCGAUGUUGGAUUAAAAGUUGUUUUGGGUGUAGAAGCUUGAAGGUUUGGUCUGUUCGACCAUUAAAUUUUUACAUGAUCUGAGUUCAGACCGGCGUAAGCCAGGUUGGUUUCUAUCUUUAUUUAAAUAAUUUAUUUUAGUACGAAAGGACCAAAUAAUUUGUAUAUUAAUAUUUGUAAGUUGAAUAAAA
rnacentral:rRNA from 1 species